rnacentral:rRNA from 1 species
AACACAUGCAAGUCGAGCGGUAACAGAAAUUAGCUUGCUAAUUUGCUGACGAGCGGCGGACGGGUGAGUAAUGCCUGGGAAUAUGCCUUAGUGUGGGGGAUAACUAUUGGAAACGAUAGCUAAUACCGCAUAAUGUCUUCGGACCAAAGAGGGGGACCUUCGGGCCUCUCGCGCUAAGAUUAGCCCAGGUGAGAUUAGCUAGUUGGUGAGGUAAGAGCUCACCAAGGCGACGAUCUCUAGCUGGUCUGAGAGGAUGAUCAGCCACACUGGAACUGAGACACGGUCCAGACUCCUACGGGAGGCAGCAGUGGGGAAUAUUGCACAAUGGGCGAAAGCCUGAUGCAGCCAUGCCGCGUGUAUGAAGAAGGCCUUCGGGUUGUAAAGUACUUUCAGUCGUGAGGAAGGGUGUGUAGUUAAUAGCUGCAUAUCUUGACGUUAGCGACAGAAGAAGCACCGGCUAACUCCGUGCCAGCAGCCGCGGUAAUACGGAGGGUGCGAGCGUUAAUCGGAAUUACUGGGCGUAAAGCGCAUGCAGGUGGUUCAUUAAGUCAGAUGUGAAAGCCCGGGGCUCAACCUCGGAACCGCAUUUGAAACUGGUGAACUAGAGUGCUGUAGAGGGGGGUAGAAUUUCAGUGUAGCGGUGAAAUGCGUAGAGAUCUGAAGGAAUACCAGUGGCGAAGCGGCCCCCUGGACAGACACUGACACUCAAUGCGAAAGCGUGGGAGCAACAGGAUUAGAUACCCUGGUAGUCCACGCCGUAACGAUGUCUACUUG